rnacentral:rRNA from 1 species
UACGUAGGGUGCAAGCGUUAAUCGGAAUUACUGGGCGUAAAGCGUGCGCAGGCGGCUUUGCAAGACAGAUGUGAAAUCCCCGGGCUUAACCUGGGAACUGCAUUUGUGACUGUAGAGCUGGAGUGCGGCAGAGGGGGAUGGAAUUCCGCGUGUAGCAGUGAAAUGCGUAGAUAUGCGGAGGAACACCGAUGGCGAAGGCAAUCCCCUGGGCCUGCACUGACGCUCAUGCACGAAAGCGUGGGGAGCAAACAGG